UACGUAGGGUGCGAGCGUUAAUCGGAAUUACUGGGCGUAAAGCGUGCGUAGGCGGUUCGUUAUGUCUGCUGUGAAAUCCCCGGGCUCAACCUGGGAAUGGCAGUGGAAACUGGCGGGCUUGAGUGUGGCAGAGGGGGGUGGAAUUCCGCGUGUAGCAGUGAAAUGCGUAGAGAUGCGGAGGAACACCGAUGGCGAAGGCAGCCCCCUGGGCUAACACUGACGCUCAGGCACGAAAGCGUGGGGAGCAAACAGG
rnacentral:rRNA from 1 species